ACUGGCGGACGGGUGAGUAACACAUUAGCAACCUGCCCCGAAGUUCGGGAUAACGGUCCGAAAGGACCGCUAAUACCGGACGUGAUUCGCGGAUGAUGUCCGUGAAGGAAAGCCCAAAAGGCGCUUCGGGAGGGGCUUAUGGCUUAUCAGCUAGUUGGUAGGGUAACGGCCUACCAAGGCUAUGACGAGUAGCAGGCGUGAGAGCGCGACCUGCCUCAGUGGAACUGAGACACUGUCCACACUCCUACGGGAGGCUGCAGUCGAGAAUCUUCCCCAAUGGGCGAAAGCCUGAGGGAGCGACGCCGCGUGCGGGAUGAAGGGCUUCGGCCUGUAAACCGCUUUUACUUGGGAAGAAGCGCAAGCUGACGGUACCAAGUGAAUAAGAGGUUGCUAACUCUGUGCCAGCAGCCGCGGUAAUACG
rnacentral:rRNA from 1 species